GUGAACGCUGGCGGCAGGCCUAACACAUGCAAGUCGAACGGCAGCACAAGAGAGCUUGCUCUCUGGGUGGCGAGUGGCGGACGGGUGAGGAAUGCAUCGGAAUCUGCCCAUUUGUGGGGGAUAACCUCGGGAAACCGGGACUAAUACCGCAUACGACCUACGGGUGAAAGCAGGGGAUCUUCGGACCUUGCGCAGAUGGAUGAGCCGAUGCCGGAUUAGCUAGUUGGAGGGGUAAAGGCCCACCAAGGCGACGAUCCGUAGCUGGUCUGAGAGGAUGAUCAGCCACACUGGGACUGAGACACGGCCCAGACUCCUACGGGAGGCAGCAGUGGGGAAUAUUGGACAAAGGGCGCAAGCCUGAUCCAGCCAUGCCGCGUGUGUGAAGAAGGCCUUCGGGUUGUAAAGCACUUUUGUUGGGAAAGAAAAGCAGCCGGUUAAUACCCGGUUGUCAUGACGGUACCCAAAGAAUAAGCACCGGCUAACUUCGUG
rnacentral:rRNA from 1 species